GCCGCGGUAGCUCAGCUGGGAGAGCGUUAGACUGAAGCUCAAUCUACAGGUCACCUGUUCAAGCCAGGUUCGUGGCA
rnacentral:tRNA from 1 species